AGAAACUUAGGAUAAAUUAGACCAAGGGCCUUCAAAGUCCUAAGUAGAAGUGGAAAUCUUCUAGUUUCUG
rnacentral:tRNA from 1 species